CCUACGGGUGGCUGCAGUGGGGAAUAUUGCACCAUGGGGGAAACCCUGAUGCAGCGACGCCGCGUGAGCGAAGAAGUAUCUCGGUACGUAAAGCUCUAUCAGCAGGGAAGAUAAUGACGGUACCUGACCAAGAAACCCCGGCUAACUACGGUCCAGCCGCCGAGGUAAUACGUAGGGGGCAAGCGUUGUCCGGAUUUACUGGGUGUAAAGGGAGCGUAGACGGAAGCCAAAGUCUGGAGUGAAAUACCGGGGCUUAACCCCGGAACUGCUUUGGAAACUGGGCGGCUGGAGUGAAGGAGGGGUAAGCGGAAUUCCUAGUGUAGCGGUGAAAUGCGUAGAUAUUAGGAGGAACACCGGUGGCGAAGGCGGCUUACUGGACUGUAACUGACGUUGAGGCUCGAAAGCGUGGGGAGCAAACAGGAUUAGAUACCCCAGUAGUC
rnacentral:rRNA from 1 species